CCCUGGCACUGUUCCUGAGAGUGGUGACUCACCCGCUGCUGGAGCCCUCCAGCUGGAGCGUUCUCCUCACGCCUGAGCCCAUUUCAACAUAACGGGGAGAAAUGGCUCAGAGUGAGUUGUCCUGGCAUUGCUGUUCCCUCUCCUGGCAUCCCAGAGGCCCCACGUGCCUCCUCUGUGCCUGGUGGACUCCCAGGUACCUUGAGGCAUUUGGCUCAGAUGCCCCUUCCCCCAGGAAGCCCUCCUGGCUUCCUCACCCGUCCACUCCAGAUUUGUACACCCUCAUCAGGGCCUUUCCCCAGUGUUCUUAUUGCUCGUUGCUGCCCUGCAGGACCCUCGGCCUCACAAGACUCCCCCACUGGCCCUACUGUGCCAAAGCUCAGAGAGGUUGGGACAUUUGCCCAGUGUCACACAGCUGGGAAGUGGCAGAGCCCAGCACACGCUCAGACAGAUUGGAGCCCAGUGUUUUGCCUGCGGGCAGUGCAGCCUAGUGGCUAGGGAGGCGAAGAGGGCUAGGAGGCUGCUCCUGCCCCUGGUGUGGGGUCUUGGGCAGGUGACUUCACUUGUGACAUCGUUUUCGAGGCGCCUCUGGACUCUGAGUGACCACAUCCCAGGCUCAGACAGGAGGACAAGGCUGGCCGGCCAAGGAAGGCGGCCUGCUUGUGCCUUCCCCACCCCCCCAACUUUGCUUCGUUGCCUCUGCUCUCUGCUUUAGCCUGGACCUGACCCCUGACCCCAGGGCUCAGCAAGCAGUGCUGAGUGAGGUGUCUGCACCUGUACAGUCAGGCCACUCGUGGUGGUCAUUCUUUGGCUGGCUGUCCACGCCCUGCCCGACCGACCAGGGCCUGCUUACCUACCAUCCCCUAGCAGGGGACUGACCUUCCUGCAUGCUGGCCCCAGGCCUCAGGUGGUGAUUGUUCUAAUCAAAGGGGCCCCUUGCGGCCACGUGCCCGCUGCUGGUUUCCCUGGUAACUAAUGAGCCCACCUGAGGUCACUUCCCCUGUGACUGGUAACCUGCCCUUUCCCGGGAGCGAAGCCUGCCACCGUGUCCUGCCUGCCGUCCACCGCACACAAUGGGGCGUCUCUCCGGGACCCUGCUUCAGACGUGUGAAUGGAAAGGAGGCCUGGCCCCUAGGGACAGGAUCUGAACCUGGUGAAGGAGCCAACACCCCCAGCAUUGCAGGACAAAUUUUGGAUCAUCCGUGCUUUCUACUGAAAGACUUGCAAUCCAAAGGGGAAAUGAUGGAAGAACCUGCAGCCUCUUCCCCGCCUCGGAGGCCAGCACCCUCGCCCUGGACACCAACCACCGGACACCCUCGUCCUCGCAGGGCCCCUGCACUCCUGCCCCUUGGGCUGCUGCUCUGAUGCCAUCACCAGCCCCCACACCACCCGUUCCUUUGCUCACACAUCUCGUGACCCCCCCACCCCGGUUACCCUCUCCUCCAGGUCAGGGUCCCCACUGCCUUCCCUGUGCCCCCCCCCACCAACCCUGAACCCUCCCCGGCCACAAGGUGGGCACUCAGGACGCACGCGUUGAGUGAAAAGUGACUUGUUUAUUUUUUAAUUAAUUAAUUAUGCUUUUAACCUUAAAUUCCAUGGUGCAUUGACUCGGGAGGCAUUUGUCAUUAAAAGAUCUCAGGGCUGACUUUUCAACCCAGCCGAGGGGGGUGGGCUAGAAGGGAAUCUCUUUUGAAGCCCUGACUCCAGCUGCUCCCAGGGCUCUGCUGAGCUAAGCUGCUGCUCUGGGCUUGUUUCUGCCUUAACGUGAAUAUUUCCAGAACAGACUCGGCCCAGGGGGUGUGUUCUUGCCACUUGGAAAAAAAAAAAUGUGUCUCUGUAUUCUAGGGAGCCUCUGCCCAGGCGGAAAGACUCUUUCUGAGAGGCAGCACGUUGCCUAAGUGGCAGUCAGCAGUUUUCAAGGCAAACGAGGGGUUUGCUGUGGGGACUCAGUGAUUUCUGGUGUCUUCAGCUUAGCUGAGCCUCAGGUUUCCUAAGCUUAGCCUUCUCAUUGCUGAGGCUGCAUCAUGCCCCAUGACCGGAUUUUCCCCAGGCUGGGAGAUGGAAUGUGGGGUCACCAGGCCUCAGAUGGUGUCAGCUCAAGGACUUAGGCCUCUGACUGAUGGCUGCAGCCCUUGGCAGUGGCUGCGAAAUCCUGACACUGGGUUUGAACAAAAGUGGCCCUGGGAGGUCUCCACAGAGGAAGGAAAGUCGUACGCGGGCGAGCCACCCAUGACGUCCACAGUGGCUUGACUCGGGGAGCGCCGGGGACACGGCCAUCCUUCCGGAAGAGUCGGGCUGCUCCGGGGAAGCAGCUCUGCUCCGUCCAUUGUGCCUGGCCAGACUGCCAGUCCCUAGGGGCCUCCAUGUAGGCAUGUCUAGACGGCUCGUCUACCAAACCCAUCUGCAGGGCCAAUGACCAUCCAUCAGCAGCCUGUGCUACCAGGCCGAGGAGGCCUUCCAGUGAUAAGAGGGCAUCAUCAGAAGGCACAGCUAGUCCUGGCUGUCACCCCCAAUUUCUAGCGCUCCCCAGGCUCCACAAAGCCCAGCUCCACGAGCAUCUCCAGAGCUUCUCAUCUGGGGAACAUGUCUGGAUUCGGCAGUGUUUGGAGUUAGAAUAGUUGAUUAACAGUAUUUAACCUGGAUAGAUACGGGCAGGGAUGUAGAAGGUACUUGCAGUGAAAUUGCUGUAAGAAAUGUCCAACGUGAUGCCUGGCACUGGCCACAGGUUUGGCUCUGAGUUCUCUCAUCCCCUGUUCCUGACCUCUCAAAGUUAGAGGAAAAUAGAACGAUACUGAAACUUGCAGCACCCAUGAAAUAAAAACGAAGCCAUUACUCAGAGGAUUUCUGAUACCUAGAAAUUUUUCCCUUCUGUAUCUGGCUUGUAGAAACUUUUAUCAUGAAAGAGUGUUGAGGUUUGCCAGACAACUCCUUUGUAUCUAUCGAGUGUGGUGUGUGAUAGUUUGGAAGUGUUUUCUCUUCUUCAGGAGUGUACCUCAGUAUAAGAAAUGCCAUGUGUGAACAGCCCACAAUUAACAUCAUUCUCAAUGGUGAAAAACUGAAAGCAUUUCCUGUAAGAUCAGAAAAAGACAAGGAUGCCCACUCUAGCCAUUUCUGUUCAGUAGACUACUGGAAGCCCUUACUACGGCAAUUAGGCAAGAAAAAGAUAUAAAAGGUGUCCAAAUAGGAAAGAAAGAAGUAAAAUUAUCUAUUUGCAGGUGACAUGAUCUUGUAUGUAGAAAACUCUAAACAUUUCACACACACACACACAUAACUAAUAAAAAAAUUCAGGGCAGUUAUGAGACACAAAAUCCACAUAUAAAAUCUGUUGCAUUUCUCUACCCUAACGAUGGACUAUCUAAAAAGAAAAUUAAGAAUACAACCUCACUCACAACAGAAUCAAAAUAGAAUAAAAUACUUAGGAAUAAGCUUAACUGAUGAAGUAAAAGACUUGUACACUGAAAACUAUAAAACAGUAAUGAAAGAAAUUAAAGAAAGCAUAAAUUAGUGGGAAGACAUCUCAUUGGAAGAAUUAAUAUUGUUAACAUGUCCAUACUACCCAAAGUGAUCUACAGAUUCAACGCCAUCCCUUUCAUAAUUCUAAAGACCUUUUUCAUAUAAGUAGAAAAAGCAAUUCUAAAAUUCUUACAAAACCACAGAAGACUCUGAACAGUCAAAGCAAUCUUGAACAGAAGUAAAAUCUGAAGGCAUUACACUUCCUGAUCUCAAAAUAUAUUACAAAGCUACAGUGAAAGAAAACAAGUGUUGGUGAGGAUGUAUGGAAAAGGACACUCUUGUAUUCUGUUACCGCCAUUAUGGACGAUAGUAGAGGAGGUUCCUCAGAAAAUUAGAAAUAGAACUACUAUAUGAUCCAGAAUUCCAUUUCUGGAUAUUUAUCCUAAGGAAUGAAAAUUAGGUUAUCUAAGAAACAGCUGCAGUCCUCUGCUCAUUGCAGUAUAUUCAUGGUGGCCAAGAUACACAAUCUAAGAGUCUGUUGAUGGAUGAAUGGAUAAAGAUAACACGGUAGAUGUAGAAUGGAAUAUUAUUCAUCCUUCAAGAAGAGGGAAAGUCUGCCAUCUGUGAAACACAGAUGGACCUAGAGGAUGUUACGUUAUGUGAAAUAAGCCAGGCACAAACAAAUACUGCGUGAUCUCACUUAUACGUGGAAGCUAAAAAAGUAAGACUCAACGAAACAGAGCACAGAAUGGCGGUCGCCGGGGCUUGGGGGAGGGGCAGUCACCCCGCAGGGGUAAAGUUUCAUUGAUCCAAGGCAGCCACAAUCUAGGGGCACAGUCUAACACGGUGCCCACAGUGAACAACAGUGUGCUGCGCACUUACAGGUUUGGCAAGAGAGUUGAUCUCACAUGUUCUUACCACAAUUGAAAAAAAAUGAAAUUUCGCCCAUGGCAUUUUUUAAGAAAAUAAAAAGCUGAAAUUUGAAAUGUCAACGGGAGGGGGGUGGUUAGGGAAAUUAAGUUAAAGCCACCAGAUGAAUUAUCAUGGGGCUUUUAAACUAUUAAGAUUUAAAUGAUAUUUGCGUAAAAGCGUAAAGAAAGACAGACAUGCGAAGUGUGCCGGCACCAGGAUGAGGGCAUAAAGAAACACAUUAAGCUAAAGACCACAUUUGGCGCUUUUGCAAAAUUGUCUUAUCCGUUUGUGGAAGUUUCUUCUGUGUGAAGUUUAGAAAACACACUUGUCAAGUUCUUCUCAUGAUGGUACAGAACUUGCCAUCCAACUUUGGGGGUGUAGGCAUCCUUGGAGGGGGUGCCGCUACACACGUUCUGUGACCCCCAUUCUCUCCUCAUACGUUCAGGCCUGCCUUCGCAUCUUAGUAAGGUUUUCAGUUUCCCCACGAAAGUUCUGCACUUUCUCGCAAAGGAGUCUCCUGAUAACUCCUGAGACGGCAUUUUAUUUUGGACUUUGCCCGUGUCUUGUUGCUGCUGUUUGCCUCCCUCUGGGGUGGCUGUGGAUCUGUGUGUGCCGAGCCCAUGCACAGCCCCACUUGGCUGUGGGCUCUGCUCAUCUUUCUGGAAUAGUUUUAUGUCUGCGUGGAUGUAGAGAGAUGGGUGCUGCCCCUCCCCAACCCCGUGGGUGGCUCAGUGGAGUCAGUGCCCCAGGAGCAGCCAUCGACCAGUGUGGGUCGUGGCCCCAGCUCUGCGGUCUCUUAGCUGGGAUGACUCCCCGAGGCAUGCUCUUCGAGCCUUCCUUCCAGAGGUUUCCAGUGGUGUGGGGCUCCAGGUGGAGCUUCUGCAGUACCUUCUGUUCCCCAACUCAUUUCUCCCCUCUCCUGUGGUGGUUUCCCCAGGGCCAUCUUCCAAAUGCACUGUUUUCAUUCCCUGCCUCAGGGUGUGCUUUGAGGGGAGCCCAGCUGAAUCCUUACCUUUGUGGGUGCCCCACUGGACAGUGAGCCGAGGGCAUGAGGGAAGCAUCUGUGUCAAGUUCCCAGUGCCUGGCACAGUGCUGGCCCAUAGCUAAUGCUUCAACAGCUGUGUGGUCAACGGAUGGCUGGGCUGGGUGGAUGGAUGGAAGGAGGGAUGGAUACCUAAUGGAUGGAUGGAAG